UACGAAGGGUACUAGCGUUGUUCGGAAUCACUGGGCGUAAAGCGCACGUAGGCGGAUGUGUCAGUCAGGGGUGAAAUCCCGGGGCUCAACCUCGGAACUGCCUUUGAUACAGCACGUCUCGAGUCCGGAAGAGGUGGGUGGAAUUCCUAGUGUAGAGGUGAAAUUCGUAGAUAUUAGGAAGAACACCGGUGGCGAAGGCGGCCCACUGGUCCGGUACUGACGCUGAGGUGCGAAAGCGUGGGGAGCAAACAGG
rnacentral:rRNA from 1 species